rnacentral:rRNA from 1 species
GACGAACGCUGGCGGCGUGCCUAACACAUGCAAGUAGGACGCAGUCGCGAACGGGUGAGUAACGCGUCGGUCACUGCCUAUUAGAGGGGGCUAACAACUGGAAACGAUAGCUAAUACCGCAUACUAGUAGAAGGACCUGCGUUGUAUUAUCUAGUAGGUAGGGUAAUGGCCUACCUAGGCGACGAUACAUAGCCGACCUGAGAGGGUGACCGGCCACACUGGGACUGAGCCACGGCCCAGACUCCUACGGGAGGCAGCAGUGGGGAAUCUUCGACAAUGGACGAAAGUCUGACCGAGCAACGCCGCGUGAGUGAAGAAGGGUUUCGGAUCGUAAAACUCUGUUGUUAGGGAGGCGGUAUCUAACCAGAAAGCCACGGCUAACUACGUGCCAGCAGCCGCGGUAAUUC